rnacentral:rRNA from 1 species
GUGGAUUAGAUACCCCAGUAGUCCACGCCGUAAACGAUGAGUACUAGGUGUAGGAGGUAUCGACUCCUUCUGUGCCGCAGUUAACACAAUAAGUACUCCGCCUGGGAAGUACGAUCGCAAGAUUAAAACUCAAAGGAAUUGACGGGGGCCCGCACAAGCAGCGGAGCAUGUGGUUUAAUUCGAAGCAACGCGAAGAACCUUACCUAGACUUGACAUCUCCUGAAUUACUCGUAAUGGAGGAAGCCCUUCGGGGCAGGAAGACAGGUGGUGCACGGUCGUCGCCAACU